rnacentral:rRNA from 1 species
UACGUAGGGGGCGAGCGUUGUCCGGAUUUAUUGGGCGUAAAGGGCGCGUAGGCGGCUGUACAAGUCAAAGGUGAAAUCCCUCGGCUCAACUGAGGAACUGCCUUUGAAACUGUACGGCUUGAGGCCGGGAGGGGGUAGCGGAAUUCCCAGUGUAGCGGUGAAAUGCGUAGAUAUUGGGAGGAACACCAGUGGCGAAGGCGGCUACCUGGACCGGUUCUGACGCUGAGGCGCGAAAGCGUGGGUAGCAAACAGG